GCCGAGUCCCAGGUCAACAAGCUGCGGGCCAAGAGCCGCGACAUCGGCGCCAAGGGCUUGAACGAGGAGUAGCUGUGCCACAUCUCCUUGAUCUGCCCCGUCCUGAGGGUGCAACGAAGCUCCCAGUCCUGGAGCCUGGAGAGCAGCCCCUUUGGAGGAAGCAGAAUAAAGCAAUUUUCCUUGAAGUGA